CCUACGGGUGGCUGCAGUGAGGAAUAUUGGUCAAUGGCCGGAAGUCUGAACCAGCCAAGCCGCGUGCAGGACGAAGGUGCCAUGCAUUGUAAACUUCUUUUGUCAGGGGACAAACUCAGUCUCGAGUGCCUUACCGCAUGUACUUCAAGAAUAAGCAUCGGCUAACUCCGUGCCAGCAGCCGCGGUAAUACGGAGGAUCCGAGCGUUAUCCGGUUUUAUUGGGUUUAAAGGGUGCGUAGUCGGGCUGUUAAGUCAGCGGUAAAAGCCCGGGGCUCAACCCGGGCCCGCCGUGGGAACUGGCGGGCUUGAGAGGGCUAGAGGUAGGCGGAAGUCGCAGUGUAGCGGUGAAAUGCUUAGAUAUUGCGCAGAACUCCGAUUGCGAAGGCAGCAUACCGUAGGGGAUCUGACGCUGAGGCACGAAGGCGUGGGUAUCGAACAGGAUUAGAUACCCUUGUAGUC
rnacentral:rRNA from 1 species